GCCCCUGUAGCUCAGUUGGUAGAGCAUGGCAGUUGCAACGCCAAGGUUGUGGGUUCGAUUCCCACGGGGGACC
rnacentral:tRNA from 1 species